GAAAUAUGAUGUUCAAAUGAAAGCUGCUAACUUAUCAUUUUAAGCGGUUAAAUUCCGUUAAUAUUUCU
rnacentral:tRNA from 1 species